CUAUACAUGACUCUGCGCAUAUCAAUAAGCGGAGGAAAAGAAACUAACAAGGAUUCCCUUAGUAACGGCGAGUGAAGCGGGAAGAGCUCAAAUUUGAAAUCUCAAGGUUUUACCUUGACGAAUUGUAGUUUAAAGAAGUGUUUUCUGCUGAAGUUUUGGUAAAAGUUCUUUGGAAUAGGACAUCAUAGAGGGUGAGAAUCCCGUAUUUGACCAUUAUUUUCAGCUUUGUGAUACACUUUCAAAGAGUCGGAUUGUUUGGGAAUGCAGUCCAAAAUGGGUGGUAAAUUUCAUCUAAAGCUAAAUAUUGGCGAGAGACCGAUAGCGAACAAGUACCGUGAGGGAAAGAUGAAAAGAACUUUGAAAAGAGAGUUAAACAGUACGUGAAAUUGUCAAAAGGGAAGCGUUUGACACCAGUGUUGUUUUCUCGAAAAUCAAUUAAAAAUGGCUCGAUUUUGUAUUGCUUGAGACCUUAAAAGCUCACUGUACAUUUUUCGUGUCUUUUUUAAUGCACUUUUCGUUUAACAAGUCAACAUCAGUUUCUUUUGUUGUAAAAGGGUCAUUGGAAGGUGGCUUUCUUUUCGGAGAAAGUGUUUAUAGCCUUUGGCCUCUGCAAUCGGAGAGACUGAGGUCUGCAGCGUAGACUCUUCGGGGUUAGAUACAUUUGUGCUAAGUUAUAGCUUUUUAUAGACAACUUGUUGACUAUAAUUAGUCUUGUAGCUUACUCGCUUAUGCUAUUUUACCUACGCUUAGGAUGUUGAAGAUGUAGCACAUCAU
rnacentral:rRNA from 1 species